CAAUAAGCGGAGGAAAAGAAACUAACAAGGAUUCCCCUAGUAACGGCGAGCGAACCGGGAAGAGCUCAAAUUUGAAAUCUGGCGUCCCACGGGCGUCCGAGUUGUAAUCUGCAGAGGCGUCUUCCGCCCCGGACCGCGUCCAAGUCCCUUGGAACAGGGUAUCAAAGAGGGUGACAAUCCCGUGCUUGACGCGACCCCCGGUGCUAUGUGAUGCGACCUCAAAGAGUCGAGUUGUUUGGGAAUGCAGCUCAAAACGGGUGGUAAAUUCCAUCUAAGGCUAAAUAUUGGCGAGAGACCGAUAGCGAACAAGUACCGUGAGGGAAAGAUGAAAAGCACUUUGGAAAGAGAGUUAAACAGUACGUGAAAUUGUUGGAAGGGAAACGAUUGAAGUCAGUCGUGUCCGAGGGGUUCAGCCGGUCCUGCCGGUGCACUCCCCUCGGACGGGUCAACAUCGGUUCUGUCCGGCGGACAAGGGCAGGGGGAACGUGGCACCCUCGUGGUGUGUUAUAGCCCCCCGUCGCAUACGUCGGUCGGGACCGAGGAUCGCAGCUCGCCCUCACGGGCCGGGGUUCGCCCACGUCCGAGCUUAGGAUGUUGACGUAAUGGCUUUAAACGACCCGUCU
rnacentral:rRNA from 1 species